GGUCAGCACAGUUUGUAAACAUGUCACAACUAGUCGGUAACAGCCCAUAAAAUUCUUCCAGCAAUUUGUCUCGAUUUUGUUUGCGGCAAAACAUGUUGUAUAUGGGUGUAACAGCUUGGAAUAAAGCUUUACUCGAAGAAACAUUUUUAAGAGCAUCAUUUAUUUCAUGCCCAAACAGAUCGUCCUUGAUAAGUUUUGUCUUAAUCGCUUCGACAAUGGAAACAAAAUUUUCUUCCGACAGAUGUGUUUCUUGCUCGGAGAUACUUGACAAAGAAUCAUUUUCGCGAUGUUUGGAGUUGGUAUGCCUCGUCAAGCCGCCUUUCGACUUGCAUAUUUUUGUGCAUUUGGGACAAGGAAACGACUUUUUACCUUCGAUUUCUGUCACAGCCUCAACAAAUUCAGCAUCGAUCUCAUCACUUUCAGCUUCAACAACAGCGACAGACAAAUUUAAAUAAAAUGCAUCAUCUGACAAGUCAUCGGCUGGCGUUUCGAACCACGUCUCCGUUUCGUAAUGCUCACUGGGGUCAUCAACAUACUCAUCAGACAAAUUGUAUUCUUCCUCAAUAUCUAUUUCACUCUCCAUAGCGUUUUCUUUCCUUUUAGGCGUGAAACAAGCCCACUAUUGAGAGUUUUAUACAGCCUAAUGUAAUUUGACACUGUAAUUUUAUACAUUGAAAUCAACCGGAAAUCAACAUGAUGCACCUUAUUGUGCACGUGACUAGUUUUUCCUUUGAACCUCAACAUAAUUUGCCGCCCCUUUUGAAGUUUGCCGGCUAGCCUAACCAUCCCCUUCAAUUAACUGUGGGCAAAGCGACUGCAAUGAAAAACGUUUUGUCAGCUCACUCUGAGGCCAGCGAAAUAAUCUCUUCCCAUCCUUACAUGGCGUAUUCGUGCAAGUGGAAAAACAAGAUGGCGACCGACGAAGAGUUGGCAGAAUUUAUAAACAAUCAUAAAUCGCAAUUAUUAAGUUGCGGAAUUCCUAAACUCUACUGGAAUACGUUGUGCGAAAAACUUAAGCAAGAGGU